GGGGCUACAGCUCAGUGGUAAAGCAUAUGCUUAACAUGCACAAGGUUCUGGGUUUGAUCUCCAGCACCA
rnacentral:tRNA from 1 species